rnacentral:lncRNA from 1 species
GUGCCAUAUUUAUUUGAUAUUUUUUCUUGAUUAGGAUCAGAUUUAAAUGCUAAUUCAAUGAGAUAACUCUAGAAAUUUAUCAGAUGAAUUAACUGAUGCUUUGAUACCCAUUUACUGGGUAUGUGUGCGCACGAUAGAGGAAGGACUCAUGCAUCUCCUUGCAUUAGAGAGUCCUUCUACUAAUCAAAUUGGAUUUAAAUGGAAAGAUCCUUUUCAAAUUUUAUUCCUCAUUUGAUCCACUUUUAUAAGGAUAAUUAUCUAGAAUUUUUCUAUAUAUAUUUCAUGGUCAAAUGGAUGUCAAAGGCGACCCCUUGCACGUGCGCAUGUGGUGAU